AGCGGCAGAACCCAGACCAUGUCCCAGUACGGGACACUAUUCUCGGAUGCUGAUGUCAGAACAGCAGGUGUACCCCAUGGAUGAAUAAAGAGUUCCAGAGAGCGGCAGAGACCAGACCAUGACCCAGAACGGCACACUGUUCCCGGACAGUGAUGGCAGACCAGCAGGUGUACCGCAUGGAUGAAUAAAGAGCUCCAGAGAGCGGCAGAGACCAGACCAAGUCCCAGAACGACACACUAUUCCCGGACAGUGAUGGCAGAACAGCAGGUGCAGUGGAUGGAUGAAUAAAGAGCUCCAGAGAGCGGCAGAGACCAGACCAAGUCCCAGAACGACACACUAUUCCCGGACAGUGAUGGCAGAACAGCUGGUGUACCCCAUGGAUGAAUAAAGAGCUCCAGAGAGCGGCAGAGACCAGACCAAGUCCCAGAACGACACACUAUUCCCGGACAGUGAUGGCAGAACAGCAGGUGUACCGCAUGGAUGAAUAAAGAGCUCCAGAGAGCGGCAGAUACCAGACCAAGUCCCAGAACGACACACUAUUCCCGGACAGUGAUGGCAGA
ensembl:lncRNA